GCGUAAAUUUUACUUUUGGACUUUGCACUCAUGCUGCUCGAGGACGCAAGUCGAACUAUAACCCAUUCCGGGUUGGUUAGCUACAUGAACGGUUUGGGCAUCGUCUGAGGCCUUAGCUGGCUCUUGUUGUUCUUAAUAGUUGACUUUGCGCAUUUUGAACCUGUCAACAAGGUUGCGCCCUUUACAACGUAUUUAGUAAAAACAUUAUACAUGCCCACCAGCACCGGCGCGAUAGUAUUUUAGGAUGUUACUCUGUUGCUUCAGAGGAAAGCUUGCUGCAGCGGACUUGCAGCGGGAUUCCAAGACAGUUUCGGAGAGAACAAGCCUAGGAACCAGAACUGUCGAGGUACCUGCGAAGGCAUCUGCAAUCUUAAGCGUCCAUCAAGAGCAACCGACCUUGCAUGAAACGGUGAGCGCCUUGGUGCUUUGCCGCUGGUCGCUCUGUACCAUGAUUUCGACGAAACUGUGUCCAGACGAGGUAUUCGUCGGCUGUCGGUUGCGAUGACGCUGUAAUUAUA
rnacentral:lncRNA from 1 species